rnacentral:rRNA from 1 species
UACGGGGGGAGCAAGCGUUGUUCGGAUUUACUGGGCUUAAAGGGCGCGUAGGCGGGCCAGCCAGUCUGUGGUGAAAGCCUCCAGCUUAACUGGAGAAGUGCCGUGGAUACUGCUGGCCUCGAGGAGGAUAGGGGCAUCUGGAACGGUCGGUGGAGCGGUGAAAUGCGUUGAUAUCGACCGGAACUCCGGUGGCGAAGGCGAGGUGCUGGGUCCUUUCUGACGCUGAUGCGCGAAAGCCAGGGGAGCAAACGGG